rnacentral:rRNA from 1 species
GAUGAACGCUGGCGGCGUGCCUAAUACAUGCAAGUCGAGCGAACAGACGAGGAGCUUGCUCCUCUGACGUUAGCGGCGGACGGGUGAGUAACACGUGGAUAACCUACCUAUAAGACUGGGAUAACUUCGGGAAACCGGCGCUAAUACCGGAUAAUAUAUUGAACCGCAUGGUUCAAUAGUGAAAGACGGUUUUGCUGUCACUUCUAGAUGGAUCCGCGCCGCAUUAGCUAGUUGGUAAGGUAACGGCUUACCAAGGCAACGAUGCGUAGCCGACCUGAGAGGGUGAUCGGCCACACUGGAACUGAGACACGGUCCAGACUCCUACGGGAGGCAGCAGUAGGGAAUCUUCCGCAAAGGGCGAAAGCUUGACGGAGCAACGCCGCGUGAGUGAUGAAGGUCUUCGGAUCGUAAAACUCUGUUAUUAGGGAAGAACAAAUGUGUAAGUAACUAUGCACGUCUUGACGGUACCUAAUCAGAAAGCCACGGCUAACUACGUG